UACAGAGGGUGCAAGCGUUGCUCGGAAUCAUUGGGCGUAAAGGGCAGGUAGGUGGUCUCAUUUGUCUGGGGUGAAAUCCCUGAGCUUAACUCAGGAACUGCCCCAGAAACGGUGAGACUGGAGUACUGGAGAGGGUCGUGGAAUUCCCGGUGUAGCGGUGAAAUGCGUAGAGAUCGGGAGGAACACCAGAGGCGAAGGCGGCGACCUGGACAGUGACUGACACUCAACUGCGAAAGCGUGGGGAGCAAACAGG
rnacentral:rRNA from 1 species